rnacentral:lncRNA from 1 species
UUACAGAUGCAGAUGAAAAAGACCUAGUUGGUCAGCAUGAGCCCAAGGAAAAGAAGCCUAAGACUACAAGCACCGAAGCCGACGAGGCAAUGACCUGCUCACAGGUUAGACUGCUAGGAAUCAAUCAAGGCCAAGAGAAAAAUUGAAGAAAACCAGAGUGAUCAAUGGCAGCAUUUUUCCGGCUUAAAAAAAGAGAAGGAACACUGCCGCUGCGAAGCUAUUUCCACCUUGUGCUGUGAACUUAAUUAUAUGGUGGGUUUGUCGUGAAACUUGCAACCAAAGGGGACAGUGGUAGGAGGUUUUUGUCCCAUUGUCCGAGUCCGAGUAUGCGAUUGGACCUCCUCGGUGUGUUGAACCUGUUUCCUUUUUUCUAUUUUUGCUUUUGUGUUUUACUUCCUGAGAACCUAGCCUUCCUAGAAUUGUGAAUUGUUUAAUUCGUGCCGAAAUAUAUUUGGAUUUUCUCUGAUUUUACUCGUUUCCUGAACUAUAAUCGUCUAUACGGCAUUACAUGGCUCUGGUUCUGGCAGACAGGAAGGUUGCAACAACGAAACAUCAUAAGCAUUUAAGCAUUAUAAGGAUCUCAAGCUGUCGAUCAAAAGGAAUUGUGUGUGCAUUUAUAAUUUAUAUGGAUGAGUGUAUGUAUGUGCGUAUGAGUGUAUAUGUAUGUACUGCGUUUAAGAGAAAAGUAGUUAUCCAUUUCGUCGGGUGUGAUUAUGACAUACAACACGCCAGCACUAUCUUGGUUGUGGAUGCGCACUAGCUUUUCAGGCAGAUAAAAGUUCCAGCCGCCACAGCUCUCCUCCUCGUUUUCCUGCCGACCGCGACCAUGACGACGACCACACGUCAAGGGCAUGUGUGCGUGUGUGAUUAUCUCUGCCAGAAUGAAGGUGAGCGCGAUCUUGAUCUUGCCGCAGUACUCCUCCUUGACGACCUGGUGCACGCCCGGCGGCAGGAUGCACUCCUGUAGCACCGUCUCCAGAGGGAUGCUCUGGAAAAUGUUCAGUGCAUUACAUACAUGAUACAUGUCAGUUCAGAACGCUUCGAGGACUAUGACACUUCUGCCAUCUUGUUCUGAUGAGAGUAGAGGCUUGUGUGUGUCUGGUUAGCUACUGAAGAAAUCGGAGUCGUCAAGGCCCUUUGCGAAGACAAGCAGGACCUCUAGCUUCAUGCAUUGAACGAUGGGAACCUGGGGUAGGUGCACCCAUUUUUUCCCAAAAGAAAGUAAUUGUAAACAUGGUCGAAAUCAUGAUUUGUUUUAACAACAAACCUGGUCAAGCAUUACACUCGCACUUUUUUUAGAGGUAAUAUCAUUGAUAGUCAUAGAACUUGCGCUGGAUGUCCAGUUUGGUGCUAAAACUUGUAAAAUAUGGAUUUCUGGUCAUCUAACUUGUUGAUUGGUGCAAAUACGGUGCUUUCUACUGUAUCCCGGCAUACACCCUGCCUGCAUGGCAUGUCGGCGGCCCACAUAUCAGUGGUCAGGAGUUAAUUUUUCCAAUAACUUCCUAGAUUUUUAAAUCUACACUACUAUUAAACAAGAGAACAUGGUGGACGAAAACUCUGCCAGGCCCACGCUCGCGCACAAGGGAAACAAUCAAACAACCCACGUCCAAUUUAUAUGGAGAGGAAAAAAAAACAAUCGCAAAAGGAAACCACACGUCCGUUCCGCAUGCAUUGUUCAACAAUACAGAAAGAAAGUUGCUAAAUUAGCGGCAACUAAUUUAUUUUCCCCCGCCGCCGCCGCCGUUCCACAUUGCCAUCUAGGCGUACAUGUUAACCCGUGGCAUCGCUGCCCUGGGCAGCUGGCGAGGCACCUGACUACCACGGCGAUGACAAGCUCUUCGGCGACACAGGUGCCGCGCCCAGACUAGCUGAACUCUAUUGUCAUCCAGACGUCCAGGUUUACAUGCGCCAUCGCUGCCCUGCGCAGACGGCAAGGCACCAGACGACGGCCGCAACGACGAGCUCUUCGUCAAAACAGGUACCGCCCAGACUGUCUGAACUUUGUUGCCAUCCAGGCGUCCAGGUUGACCUGUGCCAUCGCUGCCCUGCGCAGCCGACGAGGGACCCGACGACGGGUGCGACGAGCUGACCUGCCCUGCGCCAUUCACGUCCGCGCUCUUCGCCAACAAAGGUGCCGCCCAGACUGUCUGAACUUCGCGAGGCUUUUACAGGCCGCCACCACCCAGACUGUCCCGCGCCAUCGCCGCACUGCGUGUACGACGACGUCACAGCGCCGAUGAACUGCUCCGCAGGUGCAUGCUUAUUUGCCAACAUGUUGCCAGUGUGAUCCAUUUGAUUGAUCCUCGUGCUUUUCUGCAUAUUAUAAUGAUAAAAACAUGUUAGCAUUCUAUAAUUUAUCAAAAACAAGAAUGAAUCUUAUGGCAUGAGCAUAUACUAACAUGAUCCCUAUUGUACGUACCUGACCUAAACCUGAAAUCGUACCAUGAAGCCUUGGCAAAUGCACAUGGUACUGACCUCACCUAAAAGCCUCACCAAGCUGCAUAUGGUUCACCCACACUCUGAAAGAGACCUAGAUGAAUAGUAUUACAAACUACUACAUCCUGUUACAUUAUGCCAAGUAUAUUAAUGCAAAUUGAAUUCAUUUGGGUAGCAGACCUAGAUGAAUAGUAUUACAAACUAUUAUAUUCUGUAGCAUUAUGAAAGUAAAUUAAUGCAAAUUGAAUUCAUUUGGGUAACAGACCUAGACGGGCAUUGCGCGUGCAAGAUUACUAGAGUUUUUCUUAUUGUGCAUCAGGUUAGCGAUGUGUUGAAACAUCAGACUCCACACAGUCCAAGUAAGUUCCCUGUAUUUUAUUAUAUUAAGUUUGGAUAAAGCAACCUAAGAUAGAGUUUGGAUAAAGCAAAAUAACUAGAGUUUGAUAACCAGCAACCUAAGUAGAGUUUGGAUAAAGCAAAAUAACUAGAGUUUGAUAACCAGCAACCUAACUAGAGUUUGGAUAAAGCAACCUCACUUGUGCGCGAACAAGCUAGGUGCCUGAAUUUUUUAUGGUGAUAUGUCAAAUUGAGAUGCUUAGAGAAUUGGCAAUCAAAUGUGUAAGGCAACGGCAGCACGCAGAUCGCCAAAUGUGAAAGCAUUAUACUAAGUAUAUUAAUGCAAAUUGAAUUCAUUUGGGUAAGCAGAGGCACCACAAGAAAGCUCUCAAGGUAAACAGUUAGUGGGAGUUGAACAUAAAACUCUACUAUGUCUGUAUUCCGGUAACGUAAUACUAUUCAUUCAAAGAUAGUUGUAUGAUAACACUCUUGACAUUCACAGGGUUGAAGGACUUCGUAUGGCCCCUACCACUCCCAACAGGUAAUGAUCAUAACCCAAUCACUCGAUUGUUGCUCAACUGCUGAAUUGUGUCAUGAUUUGCAGACCCUAAAGAAAUAAAAAGGCGGAUGGAUAGAGAGCAAUAUGCACAAAAUAGGGAUGAAAUCAAUAAGAGACGACGUGAGGCCUCCGUCUACGCUGCCGGCUCCUGCGCCACUGCUCCUGCUCCUCCCCCUCCUCCGCGGCCGGGCACACCGAGGCCGAGGCGGCGACCGGCGCGCGUGUGUAUAUGCGGCACCGGCGUUGUAUUUGGCGUUGCCCACGACGGUGGGAUGCCGGAGGCGUUGGCGCAGCAGCAGCAUGCCCAGGGACUCCUUCGCCGUAACCGCCGGGAGCACCGAGGACGGUGGCGGCGGCUUUUUUCCUGAGAGCGGUGGGGAGACAGUGGAAGGGAUAAGGUAUGUGAAGUGUGUGGGUGUGGAGAACUGAGAGGAGGCAGCGAGGGGCGUGUCCAAUUUUUUCUGCAUCGAUUCCUUUUCUUUUUAUUAUCACUGGCCUUUUUCAUCAUUCUUUUUACAGUGAUGCUACACACACGACACCGAAUGCACGAUUUAUGCACGACGAGUGAGCUCGGCCUUUUGUUAUGUCUGCGAAUCUACAUUACAACCUCACUUCUGUGGCCGAUCCUUGCACGACAGUCAAUCCGGUGGUGUGCUACAGUUUUAGUUUAUGGUUGGAUGUGUAGCAUCGUCCAAACAUCGUGCAAGAAAGUCGUCUGCAUAGCAGCUCUCUUAUGUCUGAUGCAUGGAUCAGUACCCUUGGAUCAGUUGUCGUGCAAGAAUCGGCUACAAACUGUCGUGCGUAAAGUAGUUUUGUUCUGUUUAUAUUACUUUCUCAGUUAAGAUCUUACAUUAUGAAACGGAUGGAGUAGUUAACUAAUUUUUCUAUUAGAAGUUGACGUAUGGGUGCAAUCUUUUUACAAGAUUACAACGGUUUAAAUAAACGUUCUAUCAUGAACUUUUUGUUGAGGAUAAAUCAUGUAGGUAAUUUUGUGGCCUCUUGAUGUUAAAUUUCAUGGAGCACUUAUGGGAGAUAUUUCGACACUCUUGAACAGAUAUAUUUUUGCAUCAUAUCAUAAUUUCAUGGAGUACUUAUGAAGUAGCAACUAUUUGAAAAUUAAGUCGUAUUACUUGACUUUACUUUCAUAGGGCAUAUUUAGAACAAAAUUAGUUGUUAUUUUAGUAGAUUGAGAAUUGAAUAAUGAUGAUAUAAGAAAUCCGGAUCGUUAGGCAUGACACACAUGCACAUGGCUCAAUAACAAUGACUCACUAAAGAGAAAUAAGAUUUAAAAUGGAUGUUUCUAUUAUAGAUUAUGAUACGUGCGUGCAAAUCUACUAGUCAUGAAAAAAAGCUUAAGUGAGACUCACUUGUUAGUGAACAGUAUAUGAGAAAAAUGAUAAAAAUAAAUAGGAUGGGGCGGGAGACUCGAACCAACGACCAUCACAAGGGAACGUAUACUAGGUGAACCAGCAGGCCCAACGUGAUUUACUGAUUUGGAAGGAUAACCACUUUUUGUAACCCGUCAGGUAGAACACCUGAGCCUACCAACUCAAAUGGGCUAUAAUCAGUGGAGCCCAUUUUGCAACUUUGAUUUGCUUUAGAAAUUUGUAUGUAAUUUAUGAUCUAUGUCUAAAAAAAUGUUAAUUAUGAUCUCAGUAAUGAAAAUAUAUUUAUGGAUUACAAAAAUGUUUGUAUAGUUUAGAGUAAUCCAAAUAUGUGUAAAAUUACAUUUUAAAAAUAUUAUACAAAAACUGUACUACUCAUAGAUGAGAGAAUUUUUUAACAUAAAAAAGAAAGCCGCUAGGUCUCGAACCCACGAGGCCGCUACCAACGACACCCUUCACUAUUGUCAUACAGAAGAUGACAAGUAAAUAAAAAAGUUUCAUAUAAGCCUGACUAUUAUAUAAAUAUUUAAUAAAACAUAAGUAAUAUAAUUUGUUCAGAUAUUUGUGUGUUAAAAAUAUUAUACAUACAAACGAUGAUUAGUGAACAACAACAACAACAACAACAACAAAGCCUUUAGUCCCAAACAAAUUGGGAUAGGCUAGAGGUGAAACACAUAAGAUCUCGCAACCAACUCAUGGCUCUGGCACAUGGAUAGCAAGCUUCCACGCACUCCUGUCCAUAGCUAGCUCUUUGGUGAUAUUCCAAUCCUUCAGGUCUCUCUUAACGGACUCCUCCCAUAUCAAAUUCGGUCUACCCCGCCCUCUCUUGACAUUCUCCGCACGCUUUAGCCGUCCACUAUGCACCGGAGCUUCUGGAGGCCUGCGCUGAAUAUGCCCAAACCAUCUCAGACGAUGUUGGACAAGCUUCUCUUCAAUUGGUACUAUCCCAACUCUAUCUCGUAUAUCAUCAUUCCGGACUCGAUCCUUCCUCGUGUGGCCACACAUCCAUCUCAACAUACGCAUCUCCGCCACACCUAACUGUUGAACAUGUCGCCUUUUAGUCGGCCAACACUCAGCACCAUAAAACAUUGUAGGUCGAACCGCCGUCCUGUAGAACUUGCCUUUUAGCUUUUGUGGCACUCUCUUGUCACAGAGAAUGCCAGAAGCUUGGCGCCACUUCAUCCAUCCGGCUUUGAUUCGAUGGUUCACAUCUUCAUCAAUACCCCCAUCCUCCUGCAGCAUUGACCCCAAAUACCGAAAGGUGUCCUUCUGAGGUACCACCUGGCCAUCAAGGCUAACCUCCUCCUCACACCUAGUAGUACUGAGACCGCACAUCAUGUACUCGGUUUUAGUUCUACUAAGCCUAAACCCUUUCGAUUCCAAGGUUUGUCUCCAUAACUCUAACUUCCUAUUUACCCCUGUCUGACUAUCGUCAACUAGCACCACAUCAUCCGCAAAGAGCAUACACCAUGGGAUAUCUCCUUGUAUAUCCCUUGUGACCUCAUCCAUCACCAAUGCAAAAAGAUAAGGGCUCAAAGCUGACCCCUGAUGCAGUCCUAUCUUAAUCGGGAAGUCAUCAAUGUCGACAUCACUUGUUCGAACACUUGUCACAACAUUAUCGUACAUGUCCUUGAUGAGGGUAAUGUACUUUGCUGGGACUUUGUGUUUCUCCAAGGCCCACCACAUGACAUUCCGCGGUAUCUUAUCAUAGGCCUUCUCCAAGUAAAUGAACACCAUAUGCAAGUCCUUCUUUUGCUCCCUAUAUCUCUUCAUAAGUUGUCGUACCAAGAAAAUGGCUUCCAUGGUCGACCUCCCAGGCAUGAAACCAAACUGAUUUUUGGUCACGCUUGUCAUUCUUCUUAAGCGGUGCUCAGUGACUCUCUCCCAUAGCUUCAUUGUAUGGCUCAUCAGCUUAAUUCCACGGUAAUUAGUACAACUCUGAACAUCCCCCUUGUUCUUGAAGAUUGGUACUAAUAUACCCCGUCUCCAUUCUUCUGGCAUCUUGUUUGCCCGAAAAAUGAGGUUGAAAAGCUUGGUUAGCCAUACUAUCGCUAUGUCCCCGAGAUCUUUCCACACCUCAAUGGGGAUACAAUCAGGGCCCAUCGCCUUGCCUCCUUUCAUCCUUUUUAAAGCCUUCUUGACCUCAGACUCCUGGAUUCGCCGCACAAAACGCAUGCUGGUCUCAUCAAAGGAGUCGUCCAGUUCAAUGGUAGAACUCUCAUUCUCCCCAUUGAACAGCUUGUCGAAGUACUCCCGCCAUCUAUGCUUAAUCUCCUCGUCCUUCACCAAGAGUUGGCCUGCUCCGUCCUUGAUGCAUUUGACUUGGCCAAUAUCCCUCGUCUUCCUCUCUCGGAUCUUGGCCAUCUUAUAGAUGUCCCUUUCACCUUCCUUCGCGCCUAACCGUUGGUAGAGGUCCUCAUAUGCCCGACCCCUUGCUUCACCAACAGCUCGCUUUGCGGCCUUCUUCGCCAUCUUGUACAUUUAAAUAUAAACCUAUGUAUUAUGUUAGCCAGGACUGAAUGUUCAUAUCAACAAUUUAAAUAUUUAUAUCAUUUUAAAUUAUACAAACAUUUUCAUAAUUCAUAAGUACUGUUUUAAGUAUUGAAAUAUUACAUGAAGAGUUUUGAAAGUAAGCUAUUUCGUUUGUAUUAACAAUAUUUUAACAUGAAUAUUUAAACAAUAUUUGUCUAACCGAGAUCAUAAUUUACAGACUAUCUACAAUUUUCUAAAGAAUUAUCAAAGGUGCAAAAUGGGCUGCACUGAUCAUAGGCCAUUUGAGCUGACAGGCCCACGUGUUUUAAGAGGAUAAUAUAGUACGACCUUAUCCCUUGAAGUGUCAUUAGGCGGGUUGGUUCACGAGGUGUGCGCACCAUCUGAAGGUCGCUAGUUCAAAUCCCGGCCCCUUUAAAUGAUUUUUUUUUUCUCUUAUACUCCCUCCGUUUUUAUUUAGUUCGCAUAUUAGCUUUGAUCAAAGUCAAGCUUUACAAACUUUGACCAAGUUUAUAUACAAAAAUAUUAAGAUAUACAAUAACAAAUCAACAACAUUAGAUUUAUUAUUAAAUGUACUUUUACAUUGUAUAGAUUUAUUAUGAUAAAUGCCUAUAUUGUUUUCUAUAAACUUGGUUAAACUUUACGAAGUUUGACUUCAGUCAACUCUAAUAUGCAGAGUAAAUAAAAAUGGAGGGAGUACUGUUCACUGGCAGGUGGGUCUCAUCUGUGCUUUUCUGCGUAAUUAAAAAACUUGAGGAAGUUAUUUGGAAAGUGAUUUCUUUAAUACUGUUCACUGGCAGGUGGGUCUCAUAUGUGCUUUUCUGUGUAAUUAAAAAAAUUGAGGGAGUUAUCUGAAAAGGAUUUACUCCAGUCUACUGACAUGUGGGCCACUACCAAGCUGGCAUGCCACGCAGGCAUGGUGUAUGUCCGAAUACGGUAGAAAGCACUGUAUUUGCACCAAUCAACAAGUUAGAUGACCAUAAAUCUGUAUUUUACAAGUUUUCACACCAAACUGAACGUCCAACGCAAGUUCUAUUACCUCUUUCGGUUCGGCAGGGGACGGAGAGAGCAUGAAGAGCAGAUCGAGGCGAGGCGCAUGAGCAACGCGAUCAGUUUACCCAGGUUCGGGCCGCACAGAUGCGUAAAACCCUACUCCUGCCUUGUGGUUGUAUUGAUUUCUUGCUCGGGAGCGCUGAUUGCUACAGUACACACCAGCAGCUAGCUAGACCGAACGUGAGUGCUUCUGUUGGCCGACCCCCUCUAUGUUGCGCAUGGGCAUCCUUUUAUAUGCUUAAGGGGUCACCGACAGGUGGCAACAUAGACGAGGGCAAAAAUGGAAAAAGGCGUGGCGGUGGCACCGCCGCCUACUACAGUGUAUCAUACCUAACCCUGACGGCAGGGGACAAAGGCAUUAAAUGCCUGUCUGCGUCACCUAGACGGUGCGGAAAGGGACCGCUAGGGAUGCCACUGCUUGCCACGAUGGCAAUCUUGUCAGCGCCGCUUGCCACCGUGUACCUCUGGCUGCACAGCUUCCCGCCACGUACGCUCUGGAAGGGUCCCAUAGCGACACGUUGGUGGAUGUGCUGGAGCGCAGGUACAGAGUGGAAGCUUGCCGCGGCAAGUGCCUUGCCGCGGUCGUUGUCUUGUCGCAUCCGGGAGCUUGUCGCUCACCGGGCCUUGCCGGGACGCGUGGUGCGUCGCGGUAAGUUCCUUGAGAUGCCUUGGUUGGCCUUCCCGGCAAGCUCCUCUUGCCGGGGUCUUGUCUCCUUCCCGACAAGCUCCUCUUGCCGGGGUCUUGAAUACUUUGUUCUUGAAUGGCUCCAAAGGGACCACGGAGGAUCUUGGCGGUCACUCGGCAAGCCUUGCCGCGGGACGCUGCGACUGCCCGUGCAUAAGUUCGGGAUACUAGGGUACCCCUACUCUAGUACACCGAUAGGAGCCCCCGGGCCUGGGCCAUACACGGUGCCGAGCGCUGUUGGGCCAGGCCCAAAACAGGGCACGGGCACACGCGGCCUGGGUUACGCCGUGUUUCACUCCGCAUCCACCGCGCCCUCCCCGCAUGGCACGCGUCGAACGCGGCGUUGUGGGAGAGAUCGUGGGCGGUUUCUUUAUUAGGAAAGGCGGAACGUCCGCUCCCUCCUCCUUUAUAAGCAGGGAAAGCAGGGGUAGUGCGCCCACUCGCCCCCUUUCCACUCCAAUCUCAGAAGCCUCCGCCGCGCCCCUGUCUUCUCAAAGCAGCAAGAGAGGAGCGCCCUGCCCCCCCAUUGCCACCAGCACCACCAACGCCGUCGACCUCCUCCACCACCUCCACCAUGGCUCCGAAAGCCGACAAGGGGAAGGCCGUGAAGUCGACCGAGGCGCAGCGGCUUGCGGCGCUGCGGAAGGAGCGGGCCAUCUUCCCCCCAAGCUUGCCGCGAAGGAGCUGAGGGAGUACUACUACCUAUUCUGGUCGACGGAGACGCGGGCUCACCCGAGCACGAAGGUACUCCCAGCCACUGCUCAUAAACUUGCUCCGAACGGAUAUCCCUUCUUCGCCGUGUUCUUCUACUGCGGGCUCCGCCCGCCUUUCUCCGAAUUCUUUUGCGACAUCAUGAACACCUACGGCCUCUGCCUCCUUGAUUUCACCCCCAAUGCCAUUCUGACCAUGGCAGUUUUCGCACACCUUUGCGAAAACUUUGUCGGAGUCCACCCAAACGUAGCCCUUUUCCGCCAUUUCUUCAUGCCCCGAGUAGAGAGAGGAGAGCCUCUAUCCGGCGGAAUCGCCUGGAUCUCAAGGGCCGGCAAGAAGGACUCUUAUUUGGAGGGAGAGUUCCGCGGCAAGUGGGAGGAGUGGAGAGCAGAUUGGUGUUGGAUUGUCGAGGAGAACCCGCAACCAUUUACCGGUCGGCGCCAAGUAGCAGCAGUACGCGGCAGCGAUUGGAGCGACUGGCCCCGGAGGACGAUAGGCCGAGGAUUGCCGUCACCAGGAUCCAACGCCUCAGGCUUGCCGGACUCACUGUAGGCGCCGUUGGCGCAGAUUUCCUUCGCCGCCGCAUUGCCCCCCUGCAGGAACGGAGGAGGCCCGCCUGGGAGUUCAAAAAUGCGGCGGAUAUCAUGAGGCUGCGCCCGGGCCUCAAUUACAACUUUAUUGUUUUGGAGCUGAAUGCGAUGCUUCAGGAGCUCUUUAAGUAUGACCCAGAUCAUCCCGAAGUAUUUAGGUUGCCGCAGGGCGUCGUCCCGCUGUGCAACAAUUCCGCGCUCGACCGCAUCCGGGCAAUGAUGCCGCUGUGCGACUCGCAUGGACUUGUGCCAACUUGGCAAGAGCCUGCAGAUGAGGUCGUGCAGGAAUUCUUCGACAACUUGGUAGAAGUGCCAAUCCGCCCCGACAAGAAGAACGGCCUUACUCGCGACACCACCGAUGCGGAGUUGAAGCGCAUCGCCUCCAGGCUGGAAGAAGCGGCGGCAGCCGCAGCGGCAGGCGAGUUUGGAUUCACUUUGGAGGAGGCAGAGGCAGCAGAGGCGGCAAACCGGGCCGAGCGAGAGGAGCUUGCCGGCAAGAAAGAGCUUGCCCGACAAGAGGAGCUUGCCGGCAAGAAAGAUAUUGCCGGGUGUGACGCCGAGCCGAGCGAGCCCGCCGAGGAUACGAGCGGUUCGUUGGAUAUCAACUCUUCUUCCUCCUCGUCCUCAGACAGCUCGCCGCAAGCUGAGCCUCCAUCUCCACCAAGAAGGCGUCUCCGCAAGGCCGGGGACGUAGCGAGGCGGCAGCCAAGUCGACAGUCGCCGCGCCGUGCGACACGCUCUACCGCGGCAAGCACUGCUGCCGCGGGAGCGCCUCACGCUGCUGCAGCAACUGGAGCGGGGUCUUCUCGGACCACCGCUUCUGCUCCCGCCAAGCGGCCAAGGGAUCCUACUCCUCCGCCUGCCUGCGCCGGGCGUGAGCCGGAUUUUGACUUCUCCGCGUUCAGCUCCGACGAGGAAGAAGAAGAAGAGUAAGAUUCACUUGUCAUACUUGCAGUUCUUCAAUCCUUGCUGUUUUGUCUUGUAUCUCACUUGCUUCAAUCUGGACCUAUUCCUUUUUAGGACUCUGGCCCAGAGAGCGGCGAAGAGAGCCAAGGCCCCCCGUGAUUGUCAUCGAGGACGAACCCACCGCGUCAGCAGGGGAUGCGCCCGAGACAACCUUGCCGAACCCGGCAACUGUCCUCCAGAGCAGCCCCCAGCGUAAGUAUCUGGUUUGCUUUCCGCUGUUGGGUGCGCUUGGAAUCUCUUGCUUUGCUGAUAUCUGUUUGUUGACUUGUGCAGGAGCAGAGCAGCCCCACCAGGAGAGCCCGGAGGCCGCCCCCGAAACGCCAAGGGAGAGUCCUCCGGCAAGGGAGAGCUCUCCGGCAAGGGAGACGUCUUCGGCAAGGAAGGGUUCUCCGGCAAGGGGCAGCACCAGCGGCCCCCUGGCGACGGAGACCACGGCUGUAGAUCCUGGCACAGGUAAUCUUCUUGCUUCGACACUUCCCUUGGGUUCUUCUUCUUUGGAUCUUCUUUUUUGGAUAUUUGCUUGACUCUUCUCCCCUUUUUCGGCUGUCAGAUCCAUCUGCUGCAGAGCCGAUGGAGACCGAAGUUGCCGCCGAAGACGCCGUUGCCGUCGAGGAAGCAGCCGGCGCCGACGAGCCCACCGGCGAAGAGGCCACCAGGGCUGCCGCUGCAGAAGCAGGCGGGGGAUCAGGCGAUCGCACUGACGACCCUGAGGCCGCAGGAGCGCCAGGCACUGCACCGACCGCCGAUCCCUUCGCCGCUGCCGCAGCGCCAGGCUCCGAAGAGCCCCAGCCUGGCGUCUACUUGAAGGCCAGCGAUGACAUCUUCAUCAACCUCCCCUGGGCGUCAAGCUCCAGGGCGCCGGUCGAGGAAGAGAGCUUCGACGGAGAAGUGCUCGCCUCCGCCGGGCUGGCGCUGGUUGACGCGCCAAGCAGCAGCAGCGGCGAGCCUGAGGAGGAGCGGCUGCUGCGGAAGCUUGUGUCACUCUACCGCGCCCGUCAGGUCAUGCUGGAGUCCCGCGAGGCACUUGUCGCGAAGGCGGGAGUCGACAUCGAGAAGCACGCGGAGGAGCUCCGGUGCGCCAAUCAGGAAGCUCUCCGAUUCUUGGCAGUGGAGCGGGCGCGACUUGCCGAGGAGCGGGAGGCCUUCCUCCUUGAGAAGGCCGAAGCCGAAGAGCAACAACGGCUUGCCGCUGAGAAGUUGGCGGUGCAGGAAGGCGAGCUGGUGCAGCGGAAGGUCAACCUCGACAGCCAUGAGGAGGAGCUUGCCGCGCGCGAGCGGACAGUUGGCGGAGCCCUCAAGCAAGCCGAAGAUGCUGCCGCAGCUGCCGAGGCCGCCAAGAAGGAGCUGGAGACAAAGGCGGCGCAGCUGGAGGCCGAUCUCAAGGCGAGCGGUGACGAGCUUGCCGUGCUCAAGCUUGAGCGGGAGAAGGACGCCAACAGCUACUCGGAGCUGCAGGCCCAUCUCGCCGAGAAGGGCAAGGAGCUUGACGCCGCCAAGGACUCCAAUGCGGAUCUUGAGUUAAAGCUGAUCGCUUUGACCAAGAUAUUGGACGGCGCCAAGGAGCAGGAGACGGCUCUGAAGGAGGAAGUCAAGGCCGGCAAGGCGCUGCUGGCGAGUGCCGCUGCCGCCCAGAGCACUUUCCGGGAGAACGUGGAGCACUGGACGGAGGGUCUCAUGGAUGUUGCCGGAGACAUCGACAAGGAGCUGGCGUAGCUGGGAAUGGAGGAUCUCGGGUAUCCUUCCGACGAGAGCCUCCAACCUAGCGGCAAGCUCACUUUGUUCUUCAAGGGCGUGGCGACGGCUCUCCGGCGACUCUGGGAGAGGAUCCCGAAGCAGCUGGCCGACGAGUCGCGCAAGAUCUGCGCGGGAGCUCUUCAGAAGGUGCUGGUAAAGGUGGCCUUCCGCAACCCGGGCCUCAACCUCACCAACGUCCUCAGGUCAUUGCCGCCGGAUGCUGAUCUGGAGGCGCUCAAGACCCUUGUCGCACCCAUUGUGGACAAGGUGAGCGGGAUCAAGAGGGUCGAGGGCGACCGGAUAGACUAGGCCGCCCGUUUUCUUCUUUCCUUGUCGCUGCUAUUCAUGUUAUGCAAACAAUCUGUUAGAGCCGGGACAAGCUAUUUUGCAAUAUAACUUUGCUUUGGGCAAUGAUUGCAACGUUAUUUCCUUUACUUGAUUCCUUCCUUUGUAUGUUUUUACCCUACGCUUUUAGGGAACUUGCCGGCGCAGGCACCUUAGCCGCGAGCGCUGAGUGCGGGACAUCAGCAGCCUGCUGGCGGUGCCGCUGCCGACAAGAAACCUUGUCGCAGAGCUAGUCGUAGCUCACUUAAGUUGUUGAGCGGACUCGAAACAACAGUAAGGGCGCAACUAGCUACGAGUUGGUUCCUCCGCGCACAGGUUUUCCAUACAAAGAACGGUCGUUCAAGGAAGAUAACUUUAAAAAUUUAAAGAAUCUGACUGCUCAAACUUUGGCAACUUAUCUUUUUUGUUGUUUGCUUCUCGGCAAGGCGAACUUUCUUGAACGACGCCUGGUCCAUACCGUAUCUUCUCCUUUCCCCCCGGCAAACUUGUGCGCGAGGGAACCUUCCUUUUAUGGCAGAAAAAAGAAAAAGGAGAAAAAGAUAUGGAGCCUUAUGGCUCGUUGUUGCUUACCGGGGGUAAGUGCUGCACAAAGUGUCAGAUAACACAUGCAAAAUAUAAAAAGCACGAAAUCGACAAGAUGUGCGGAGCACAUGAUCUUUAUGCACGGGAUCUGCGCCCGGCUUUGUACAAAGGAUUACAUGCAACAACGGCAAGACUUGUACAAAAGGUGGUUGCCGGAACGGGUUCCGGCGACCGCGCCCUACGGGUAAAACUUACGAAGAUGCUCGAUAUUCCAGGAGUUGCUCACUUGUAUGCCAUCUUCGGUCUCAAGGCGGACAGCGCCAGGCCUAGUGACUCGUUUCACCCGGUAAGGGCCUUCCCACUUCGGCGUCAACUUCUUGGAAUUCUUGGCGGACUAAACGCGCCGAAGAACAAGGUCGCCUUCCUCGAGACUUCUGGCGUUAACUUUGCGGCUAUGGUAGCGGCGCAAAGCUUGCUGGUAGCGAGCAGCUCGCACAGCAGCCUGAAGACGGUCUUCCUCAAGGAGCAGCGCGUCAUCUUGUCGCAGCUGCUCUUGCUCAAGCUCAUCGUAAGCGAGCACUCGAGGUGACCCGUAUACGAGUUCCGUGGGGAGAAUUGCCUCUGCUCCAUAGACUAGAGCGAAAGGUGUCUGGUCAGUGGCUCGAUUUGGCGUCGUCCUGAUCGACCAAAGAACCACCGGCAGCUCCUCGAUCCAGUUUCUUCCGCACUUGUGCAGCCUGUCGAAAGUUCUGGUCUUGAGCCCGCGCAGCACUUCAGCAUUUGCCCUCUCCGCUUGACCGUUGCUUCUCGGGUGAGCAACAGAAGCGAAGCAGACCUUGGCGCCAAGAUCUUGGACGUAGUGCAUGAAGGUGCGGCUCGUAAAUUGCGUACCGUUGUCGGUGAUUAUCCUGUUAGGGAUCCCGAAACGGCAAACAAUCGACCUGAAGAACUUGACUGCUGACUGUGCUGUCACCUUCCUCACUGGUUCCACUUCCGGCCACUUUGUGAACUUGUCGAUUGCAACGUACAAGUACUCAAAGCCCCCGACUGCUCGGGGAAAGGGGCCGAGGAUAUCAAGCCCCCAGACCGAAAAAGGCCAGGAUAAAGGGAUCGUCUGGAGAGCUUGAGCUGGCUGGUGUAUCUGCUUGGAAUGGAACUGGCACGCUUCACACUUGGUUACUUGUGGAGUUGCAUCCUGGAGGGCUGUCAGCCAAAAGAAGCCUUGCCGGAAUGCUUUGCCGACAACUGCUCUUGCGCCAAUGUGGUGUCCACAUAUGCCUCUAUGUAUCUCUGCCAACAGCUUUUGUCCAUCUUCCCGGGGAAUACACUUCAAUUUCACACCGUUGAGUCUUCUUCUGCACAGUGUGCUGUCGGCAAACUGGUACAUACUUGACUGCCGGGCUACUCUUUCUGCUUCUUCUUGCUCUUCGGGAAGUUCUCCUGUAUGAAGGAAACAGACAAUCUGCUGUGCCCAUGUUGGAGCUUGUGGCUCGACAACAAGGACUAAAGGCAUAUCUGCUGCUGCGGGAACAUCCGCUUCUACGGCAAGAACCUGCGGCUCUGCCGGAGCUUGACAUUCCCCGGCAAGCUUGCCAGAGCAAAACUUGUCGGGAGCGUCUGCUUCGAUGGAACAAACCCUAGGGCUUGCCGGAGCAGACUGCUCCUCAACACUCUUGUUGUUGAUCUUGGGGACCUUCUUGGUGGCGAAUUCGGGAAGCUCUGCCGGAAAAUAGUCACUAGAAACCAACUUCCUCUUCUUGCUCUGUCCAGUUGAUGGUGUUACGGACGGUUGAGUCAGCUUAAGCACAAAGAUCCCUGGUUCCACAGUAACUUAAGUGCAGCGCACUUUGACAGGCCAUCGGCAAUGUCAUUCUGAGCUCUUGGGGCAUGCUCCAUCUGUAGGCUGUCAAAGUGCUCUUCUAGCUUUCUCACUUCGUCAACGUAGGCUUCCAUCAACGGACUCUGAUAACUCUUGUUCACUUGGCGGACGACAAGCUGCGAGUCACCCCUGACAAUGGGCUUCUUGAUCCCAAGGUCUGCCGCGAUCCUGAGACCGGCAAGCAAGCCUUCAUACUCUGCAGUAUUGUUUGUCGCUUGCUCCUUGGGAAAGUGCAUCUGGACUACGUACUUGAGGUGCUCUCCGGUGGGUGCGACAAGCAGCACGCCAGCGCCGGCGCCUUGCAGCGAGAAGGCACCGUCAAAGUACAUGAGCCACUCUUUGCUUGUUUCCUUGACGGGGAUGCUUGUCUCUGGAAUUUCUUCAUCUGGUGUUGGCGUCCACUCUGCUAUGAAUUCUGCCAAUGCUCUGCUUUGGAUAGUUGAAGUACUCUCAAACUUGAGGCCAAAGCUUGACAGUUCCAGUGCCCACUCAACAAUCCUGCCUGUUGCUUAUGGAUUCUGCAGUAUCCUCUUCAGCGGGAAGCGAGUGACAACUGUGAUCUCAUAUGCUUGGAAGUAAUGGCGCAGCUUUCUCGAGGCCAUGAGAAGGCCGAAAAGCAACUUCUGCACACCAGAGUACCUUGACCUAGCCCCCUGCAGAAGGGAACUGACAAAGUAAACUGGGCGCUGCACCAUUCUUUUCUGCAUCUCCUCGCGCACCUGCGCAGAUCCAUCCUUGUCGGGACCAGAGCUUGUCGGGGAAGCCCCCUGCUUGUCGCUGGAUGCGCUUGGCGCGGUUGCUGGCUCGUCAUCUGCCUCUCUCUCCACCACUAACGCAACACUAACCACUUGAUUGGUUGUCGCUAUAUACAGCAGCAACUUCUCUUGCAAGUGUUGAACCAGCAUUCUUUAAACCGAAAGGCAUCCGUAUGAAACAGUAUGUGCCACAUGGAGUAAUGAACGCGGUUUUCUCCUCAUCCUCUUCUGCCAUGAAGAUUUGAUGGUACCCUGAGUAUGCGUCAAGAAAUGAAAGCAAAUCACAUCCGGCUGUGGAGUCAACAAUCUGGUCAAUGCGCGGCAAGGGAAAUGGAUCUUUGGGACAAGCUUUAUUAACAUCAGUAAAGUCGAUACAAAGCCUCCAUUUCCCGUUUGCCUUGCGCACGACUACAGGAUUGGCCAACCACGUGGGAUGGAGCACUCCUCUGACAAGGCCUGCUGCUUCCAACUUCUUGAUCUCUUCUGCUAUGAAUUCUUGGCGCUCCACUGCUUGCUUCCUGACCUUCUGCUUGAUGGGCCGCGCAUGAGGACAAACGGCAAGAUGGUGCUCAAUUACUUUCCUGGGAACACCGGGGAUGUCAGACGGUUGCCACGCAAACACGUCGACGUUCGCCCGCAGGAAAGCAAUGAGCGCGCUUUCCUAUUUAGGGUGGAGAGUGGCACUGAUGGUGAAGGUACCACCAAUGCCGUCCUCCUUGGCGGACACUUUCUUGGUAUGUGGCGGAGCUGCCAUUGCCUUCUUACACUUGCCAGUGGAGCUCGAUGGUGCGUCCUCGACGGUAGCGCAGCACUCCGAAGAGGUGCGCUUGCCGGAGUGGGCAUCUGAGCUCUUGUCGGACUUGGUCUUCUUCUUCCCCCCGGGAGCUUCAGCGGCAAGUGACUUGCGAUCUGACACGGCUGCUGCUUCCUGGUAGAUCUUGUCGGCGCAGAUAAGAGCAUCUUUCUUGUCGCCAGGGACAGAGAUGACGCUUAUCGGGCCUGGCAUCUUGAGCAUGUUAUAUGCAUAGUGAGAAGCCGCCAUGAACUUGGCGAGCGCAGGACGGCCGAGUAUUCCAUUGUAAGGCAAUGGAAAAUCGGCAACGUCAAAAGUGACCUUCUCAGUCCCGAAGUUCAUCUCGCUGCCAAAUGUUACCGGCAACGUGACCUUCCCCUUCGGCUUGCUCCUUCCCGGGUUGAUUCCUUGGAAUGUGCCGGUCUCUUCGAGCUCGCUGUCAGGGAUCUGGAGUUUCUGGAGUACAGCGGAGGAGAUCAGGUUUAAGCCGGCCCCGCCGUCAACUAACAUCUUAGUGACCCUGAGGUUGCGGAUAGUUGGUGAAACCAACAAUGGCAAGCACCCGACCGCAGUUGUGCGAUCAGGGUGGUCCUCAAUAUCAAAGAUGAUAGGCGUGCUGGACCAUUUCAGAAGCUUGCGCGACUCGACAGGUGGCUCUGCCGCAUUGACUUCCCGCGCCCACUGCUUGAGUUGGCGGUGAGAAGUAUGCAGAGAAGCACCGCCAUCAACGCACAAGACUUCUGUGGCUUUCUGGAACUCCUGCUCACUGGUCUCGACAUCAUCCAUGUCUUCGUCGUCGUCGUCGUCUUCAUCCUUGUCGCGGCCGCGGGGAGGUCUGUCUCCUUGCCGCUGCUUGGCCUUGCCGCGGUGUCCUCCUCGGCCAGCGCGCUUCUUGCUGGCUUCUCCAGCGCCUCCUUGGGCUCUCUCCUUGUCGCGCCGCUCGUACUCAGCUUUCUGUUGCUGGACAAGAUGCUCGACCUUCUUGCAACUCUGGAGGUCAUGGCCCUUGGUGCGGUGGAUCUUGCAGUACUGCUUGUCGGUGCCGUCCUGCUUGUCGGCAACCGCCACAGCCUGGCAGUUGGUGCAUGCGGCAAUCUCCUUGCCGGAGCUACCAACUUUGGCUUUCUUGGCACCACCAUCGUUGUCGGACUGCUCAACGACUAGCACUUCUUUGCCUUUCUUCUUCCUGUUGUUCCGCCGCCGGUUUUUCUUUGCCGGGGCGGCAUCCUCGCUGUCAGAUCCUCCUGCUGCAGUAUUCUCUCCGGGGAGUUUCCUCCCUUCUUCAGCACGUGCACACUUGUCGGCCAGGGCAUACAGCUCACUGACGUCUCUGAUCCUGCACAUCGCCAUCUCCUCCCGCAUCCUGCGGUUACGCACGUUCUGAUGGAACGCGCUGAUAACCGCGGCAGGGUGGAUAUCUGGGAUGUUGCGCUGCACACGGCUGAAUCUCUGAAUGUACUUGCGCAGGGGCUCUCCUUCCUUCUGGGCGAGCAGGUGAAGGUCACUCUCUUGGCCAUGAGGUUUGUGGCCGCCUGUAAAGGCGCCGACAAACUGGUGGCAUAGAUCUGCCCAAGCGGAUAUGGAGUUGUCCGGCAAGUGCAUGAGCCAGGACCUGACGUCGGGCUUGAGCACCAGCGGGAAGUAGUUGGCAAGGACCUUGUCGUCUCGCCCCCCGGCAGCUUGCACCGCGAUGGUGUAGAUGCUGAGGAACUCCGACGGGUGCGACUUGCCGUCGUACUUCUCUGGUACGUCUGGCUUGAAAUUCUUCUGGCUGGGCCACUGGACUUGCCACAGCUCACGGGUAAACGCAGGGCAACCUACCGCGUACGGCAAGUCGCCUGGUUCCCCUGGCGCAUGCAUGUCGACAGAGGGCAGCGCGCUGGUCUGAUUGACGCCGCGCUUCUCUUCGGCGCUCGAUGCGAGUACGCGUGUCUUCUUGUUGUCGUUCGUCAAGAACUUGGCGCUGAUCGCGAUGAGCUCGAGGAUCUGAUGACGCGGUGGAGUCGCUGUCGGGGUGGAUCCGGCGAGUCGGCGAUCUUGGCCUUCGGGGCGGAGAGUGCACGGUGGUUGCACCCCCACCGGUCUUGUCGCCACCGGCUCGCGCCUGGCUGACUUGCCGCGGCAGUGAAGUACUCGGCUGCCGUGGAUUGUCGCCAUUGGCGAAGCCGAUGAGACUCUGAAUGGUGGCCCUCCAGUCGUCGAUCUUGUCCGCCGCUGGAGGGUAGUCUAGGAGCAGUUGAGCUCGCGCCAAAGCUUCUGCUGGAGUGGCGGGCGGCGGCGGCGAACGGUGCGAGGAGCGAGAUAUGCUCGGACUUCUAACCACGUUAGAAGGAGCAGUAUCUCAUCUAGGCGACCGCACUCCGCUCGCGCCAGCACGUUGGCGUGCAUGCUAGUCUUACGCACUCCAAGAUCCACCAGCUCGAUCUUGGUCCAGCAAGCGUAUGGUACCGUGGGUAUCAUGACGCUGCCGGUCCCGCGCCUCCUGGGAUGGGCGCGGUGCGUGUACGGACGCCGAGGUCUUGGAGUGCGCCCGGUCGUUGUGGGAGUCGACUGCGCCGCCGAUGUGUAGCACAGCCUUGUCCUUGGACCUGGCAGCACCGUGAGCUCCCUCGUCGAUGCCCGUUCUUCCGCCGGCGUCUACCCCAUCAGCCGUUUGCUCCGGCGAUGGUGGGUUCGGCGCGGACGGAGAAGCCGCCUCCGAAGUCUUCUUCUUCGGCGGCAUGUCGAUGAAGACGAUGAAGAUUUAGCUCGUGCGAACGCCGGAUCAGGUUCACACAACCUCGACGCACCCCUACCUGGCGCGCCAAAGAUGUCGGGGGUGCUGAUCCCACGGACACCUAUGGGACCACGGCGGACCGGGCCCCUUUCGGUUCGGCAGGGGGCGGAGAGAGCACGAAGAGCAGAUCGAGGCGAGGCGCACGAGCAACGCGAUCAGUUUACCCAGGUUCGGGCCGCACGGAUGCAUAAAACCCUACUCCUGCCUUGUGGUUGUAUUGAUUUCUUGCUCGGGAGCGCUGAUUGCUACAGUACACACCAGCAGCUAGCUAGACCGAGCGUGAGUGCGUUCUGUUGGCCGACCCCCUCUACGUUGCGCAUGGGCCUCCUUUUAUAUGGUUAAGGGGUCACCGACAGGUGGCAACAUAGACGAGGGCAAAAAUGGAAAAAGGCGUGGCGGUGGCACCGCCGCCUACUACAGUGUAUCAUACCUAACCCUGACGGCAGGGGACAAAGGCAUUAAAUGCCUGUCUGCAUCGCCUAGACGGUGCGAAAAGGGACCGCCAGGGACGCCACUGCUUGCCACGAUGGCAAUCUUGUCAGCGCCGCUUGCCACCGUGUACCUUUGGCUGCACAGCUUCCCGCCACGUACGCUCUGGAAGGGUCCCAGAGCGACAUGUUGGUGGAUGUGCUGGAGCGCAGGUACAAAGUGGAAGCUUGCCGCGGCAAGUGCCUUGCCGCGGUCGUUGUCUUGUCGCAUCCGGGAGCUUGUCGCUCACCGGGCCUUGCCGGGACGCGUGGUGCGUCGCGGUAAGUUCCUUGAGAUGCCUUGGUUGGCCUUCCCGGCAAGCUCCUCUUGCCGGGGUCUUGUCUCCUUCCCGACAAGCUCCUCUUGCCGGGGUCUUGGAUACUUUGUUCUUGAAUGGCUCCAAAGGGACCACGGAGGAUCUUGGCGGUCACCCGGCAAGCCUUGCCGCGGGACGCUGCGACUGCCCGUGCACAAGUUCGGGAUACUAGGGUACCCCUACUCUAGUACACCGACACCUAUAUUGUUUUCUAUAAACUUGGUCAAACAUUACGAAAUUUGACUUCAGUCAACUCUAAUAUGCAGAGUAAAUAAAAACGGAGGGAGUACUGUUCACUGGCAGGUGGGUCUCAUCUGUGCUUUUCUGCGUAAUUAAAAAACUUGAGGAAGUUAUUUGGAAAGUGAUUUCUUUAAUACUGUUCACUGGCAGGUGGGUCUCAUAUGUGCUUUUCUGCGUAAUUAAAAAAAUUGAGGGAGUUAUCUGAAAAGGAUUUACUCCAGUCUACUGACAUGUGGGCCACUACCAAGCUGGCAUGCCAUGUAGGCAUGGUGUAUGUCCGAAUACGGUAGAAAGCACCGUAUUUGCACCAAUCAACAAGUUAGAUGACCAUAAAUCUGUAUUUUACAAGUUUUCGCACCAAACUGAACGUCCAACGCAAGUUCUAUGACCGCCAAUGAUAUUACCUCUUUUUUUAUGAAGAAAUGACUUUUGUGGUAUUGUUGACGAAAAAACAAAAUCAACACACAUUACUGCUUAGCAAAAACAAAACAAAGUCAACUAUCCACCUACAUAGCCCAUCUUCAGUAAAGGUCGCACAUACCGACAAUCAUUGAUGAACUCUUAUAUAGCAUAACCCUCAUUGCUUGCUCCUAUUUUCUCCGUUGUUACUCGACAAGCCGACCGGUGAUAACAAUAAUGUUGCCCGUUGCCUCGAUUUUUGACCAAGGACUCAGGAAGGCAAGUCUGUGUACAAGAAGCUUCUUUUAUCUCUAGGUAUCCUCCAAAAGAAAAAAAUAGAUUGAGCUUGAAAAUUCCAAAGAAUGGAAGGUAAGGCAUGCAAACAUUCAUUUGUGCUCGACAUUACAUAAUUUAAUGUAACACAGUAAUAUACUUUAUUUUUACUAUCCUCAAAUGUACCUUAGGUUUAGAAUAAUGUGUAUACUCAAAAAUGCCUUUUAUGGCAGCGCCUAGGCCUUGUACAAUAAUAAAAUGGAUCAACCUUAAAUACAUAGCUUUAAUCGUGGGAGAUAUCACACUACGGAUUCGGGCAGUAGGGAGAGAAGGCGGGGACGAAAUGAGAGGUACAGAGGGAGAGCAGAGUUGGACAAAGGGAGGGCAAACAGACACUUCAGGUAGGUGAAUGGAUAAUGACAGCGAAAGGGGGAGGAACCCUAUGACUAGGAUCAGGGCUGCUCCUUGUAUACUAGGGCCCUGGCCACAACAAUAAGAUGGGCCCUUAUUCAUACAAUAGUGAUUGAACAAAUAUCUAGUGUAAAUGUCAUCUUCAUGUUAUCUCCCCAUUGCACAUUCAUAGUCAUGCUAGAACUCAUAAUUGACUGAUUGUUUUGCAGAUAACAAUUGAUUUAUAAUAGGGCAACUUAAGUUUUCUUGAAAAGUGUAAGUUGCACUUUUUCCACUUAACUAGAAAUGUGCAAGUGGAGCAAACUCUUGUUGCAAAUCAGCGUUAGUCAAAUCUUUCGACAAACCGAAUCAGUGACCAAUUUACAAGAAAUUAUAGUGUCAUGGUUUUGGGAAACAAAAGAUAAGAGGCUAAAGAUUUUCUUCAUGGCAUGUACCGAAAAAGUUCAUAAUUUAUCAUGAGGAAGUGUUAUUUACUAAAAGAGACAUUUUACCACAAAACCCGUUCUGACAUUAUAAUCCUUCUCCAUAGUUUAUUCGGUUUGUGCUUACAACAAAGGAAUAAAAACAACAAAAGGUUGGAAUUUAUGUGAAAACCAUAGAAUUGCAAUCUAUAUGAAGCAGACUACUCGUAUAAACUAGGUCGUCAACAAAAUUAUGCCAAUAAGGAUUAUGUGAAUAAGAAACAAGGUGGAUAAGCCAAAUAUUUCCAAAUGGGGUCUCAGGGUUCAGACCUACUCAUCCAGAUUGUAAUUUUGGGCUUCACCUACCCAAUACCACUCUAAUCCGAGUAACAAGAGCACGUAGGCUAUCAUAUGCACAUGCACAAGGAUGCUCUGGAUGCUCGCCAUGUAUCCAUUUAGUUUAUUUAGCUCCUCGGCAGGCCUCUUCCUGCUGAAGGAGCGAUUAUCGUUGGUCUUAGCUUUCGUUGCCAUCACGAAGAUUUUGCCUAACCCUGUGUGAGGUCAUGUCCAUCACUGAACCACCGAAACCCUAUAAUUUUUUUUCUUCAGACAAACUCGGGGAAGAAGCAUCAGAAAAAGAUCUCAAAAGUAAUCAGGAAUUUGAAGGAUUGCGGUGACAUAUUAUAUGUCCUAGGAUCCAAGUGGGAGGAAGUCAGGUCCGCUCCCUCAAAGACGCAACGGGCUGAGGAGAUAUUGAAUCCACAUCAUCGACAUGCUCCAUGUUGCCAGAUCCGAGUGGGAGGAGGUUGGAUUCGUUUUGCCAGGCCAUCAUGGGUGGCAGACGUAUUGGAUUAGCGCCUUCGUCCUAGCAUGCGCUGUCACCUCCUGCAAGCACCAAGAAGACGUCGUCAUCUAGACCUAGUGAAGGGAGGUAGGGGAUGAGGAGUCGACUUCACCGCCAUGAAAAUAAAUGAGAGGGGCAAAGCUGCGGCUCGUGCCCUUGUGCGGUUAGCAAAGAAAUGAAAUCAGAGGGUGAUACGUCUCCAAUGUAUCUAUAAUUUUUUUUAUUGUUCUAUGCUAUUAUAUUAUCAUUCUUAGAUAUUUUAUAUGCAUUAAUAUGCUAUUUUAUAUCAGUUUUUGGGACUACCUAUUAACCUAGUGCCCAGUGUCAGUUGCUAUUUUUUCCUUUUUUUGUAUUUUACAGAAAAUCAAUACCAAACGAAACAAAACUUUUUGAUGAUUUUUCUUGGACAAUAAGAGACCUACGAUGCUUUGGGAGGAGGCGAGAAGAGCCACGAGGAGGCCACAAGCCUCCUAGUCGCGCCCCGGGGGGCGCCCUCUGGGCUUGUGGGCCCGUCGUAGCCCUCCUAACCCUAAUCUCAGCUCUAUAAAUACCCAAAUAUUCCCCUUACGUCAGAGGGCACACCAAAAGUACUUUUUCGCCGCCACAAGCUUCUAUUCUCAUGAUAUCCCAUCUUGGGGCCUUUUUUGGCACUCCGUCAGAGGGGGAUUGGAUCACGGAGGGCCUCUACGCCAACCUUGUCGCCCUUCCGAUGAUGUGUGAGUAGUUUACCACAGACCUACGGGUCCAUAGCUAGUAGCUAGAUGGCUUCUUCUCUCUCUUUGAUCUUCAAUACAAUGUUCUCCUCGAUGUUCUUGGAUAUCUAUUCGAUGUAAUGUUCUUUUGCGGUGCAUUUGUUGAGAUCUGAUGAAUUGUGGAUUUAUGAUCAGAUUAUCUAUGAAUAUUAUUGGAGUCUUCUCUGAACUCUUUUAUGCAUGAUUAAGAUAGCUUUGUAUUUCUCUCCUAUCUAUCGAUUUGGUUUGGCCAACUAGAUUGGUUUUUCUUGCAAUGGGAGAGGUGCUUUGUGAUGGGUUCAAUCUUGCGGUGUCCUCACCUAGUGACAAUAGGGUAGCGAGGCACGUAUUUGUAUUAUUGCCAUUAAGGAUAAAAAGAUGGUUUUUUUACCAUAUUGAUUGGAUCUAUCCCUCUACAUCAUGUCAUCUUGCUUAAGGCGUUACUCCGUUCUUACGAACUUAAUACUCUAGAUGCAUGCUGGAUAGUGGUCGAUGUGUGGAGUAAUAGUAGUAGAUGCAGGCAGGAGUCGGUCUACUUGUCAUGGAUGUGAUGCCUAUAUUCAUGAUCAUUGCCUUAGAUAUCGUCAUAACUUUGCACUUUUCUAUCAAUUGCUCAACAGUAAUUUGUUUACCCACGGUAUGCUUUCUUCAAGAGAGAAGCCUCUAGUGAAACGUAUGGCCCCGGGUCUAUUUUCCAUCAUAUUAUUUUCAGAUCUAUAAAAUGAAAACCUCAAAAAUACCUCACUGCAAUUUAUUUAUAUUUACUUUAUUUUGCCUUUCUCUUAUCUUUUAUAUCUAUCUCUAUUAGAUCUCACUCUUGCAAGUGGCCAUGAAGGGAUUGACGAGCCCUUUUUGCGUUGUGUGCAAGUGUUUAUUAGUUUGUGCAGGUGCAUCUAUUGGGGACUUGCUUGUGCCUCCUACUGGAUUGAUAGCUUGGUUCUUAACUGAGGGAAAUACUUAUCUCUAGGUUGCCGCAUCACUCUUUCCUCUUCAAGGGAAAAAUCAACACAAGAUCAAGAAGUAGCAAGAAGAAUCCAAAACAGAUAAUAUAAUAGCAUGGAACAAUCAAAAAUUGUAGAUACGUUGGAGACGUAUCAGGCCGCAACACCAAGAUGGGCCCUUAUUCAUACAAUAGUGAGUGUAAUACUAUCUAGUGUAAAUGUCAGUUUUGGACCACUUAUUUGUCACCCAUUGCAUGUUGAUCUUCAUGCUACAACUCAUAAUUGACUAAUUGUUUUGUAGAUACCAAUUGAUUUAGAAAAGGGCAACUUUAGUUUUAUAGAAAGUGUAAGCUGCACUUUUUCCACUUAGCUAGAAAUGUGCAAGUGGAGCAAACUUUUGUUUCAAAUCAUUUUUUGUCAAUUAUAGGCAACCCAAAUCAGUGACCAAUUUUGAGAGCCGCGCAUAUCCCUAGCUCCCCUCUAUACCUUUCCUCCACCUCUGCCACUGGCCCUGACCCUGCCUUCCAUCGCCGCCUCCCAUUCGCCACCCUGCCAGCCAUCUGCCCCUCCUUCCCCCAGGGCACCUUCUCUUCCCAUCUCCUUCUCACUUCUCCCCAUCCGUGCUCCGCUGCCGAUAGCUUCAAAGAUCCUCCCAUCUUCUCCGACACGUCCUCCUUGUCACCAUGCUCCACCUCCGUUUGACAUCCGCCCUCCAUACCGGCUGCACCCGCCACUCCCGCCAUCGUCACCACCCCAAGGUAAGCUGUCAUUUUUUAUUUCUAAUUUAAUGCCUUUUGUGAUUUGUGAUGGUGAUGAAUGGUUGUAUUAUUGUGGCAUACAUCAAAUAUAUAAAGUGGUUUCAAUUUUUUGCUAUUGGUUGCAAAUUUACAUGUUCGUUUGACAUUGCAAGUCAAGAAACAUGACAUUGCAAAUUUUUCCUAUUGCUAUUUUUUAUAUUUAAAGAGACAUGGUAUGACAUUGCAAUUAUAUUUAUAAAUAUGCAAGUCUUUGCAUAUAUAUAUAUAUAUAUAUAUAAAUAUAAAAUACUCUUUCAAAUUGAUUACGAUUUUUCGACAACCCUAGGAUGUGUAGAUUGUGUUUGUUUCAAUGCUCUCCUUCAUUCCGAGACAAAGUUUUAAUAGCAUCCCCCUGUUUCACUCAGAAUACACAUUCCCUUGUCUUAUUUUUCUAGAUGUGUACAGUACUACAAUGCUGCUGAACGGGCCAAAUGGUCAUUCGGUGCAUCUAGUUUAGUGAUCACAACUUGCAUCACUAACCAGCCAUAAACUAGUCUAUGAUGACUUAUAGCUGAUGGCUUGACCAUUAAUAUUUUAAUUUAGGGGACAUCAUCACUAACCUGCACUUCAGAAUUGAGGGUCAAUGAUAUCUUUAGGAAAACACCCCAAAAAUAGCAGAAUCCCAAGACACAUUCGAAUAGCUGAGCCACAUAUACACACACUUGUAAUCAAAAAAUACAAAUAGGAAAACUAUGAAGCACAAUAGAAACAUCACUAACAUACAAUUCGAACUCAAACUUUAUGAACCGUGAUAAACAAACAUAUCACUAAUUCAUAUGCUACAUCUCAUUUUGCCCUGCAUAGCCACCGAUGCAUGUGACCAUUAGUUAUCCAUGUCUUCACACGAUCUAGAAGGUUAAGAACUCCAUGCAAAGCUUUCAUCAUUGACUUCAAAAUUCAAAUACUCAACUACAAAGAAUAGGAAAUUAAUCAAUAGCAAUUUAAAUAAUGAAGUUAAAAUGAUUGAAUUUUGUGCACAUGUCGACAUUGUGUAAAACCAAAUUAACAUACAAGUGAUAUGGUUGUUAGAAUUUAUAAGUUUGACAAAACAUACAUGUGACAUGACUAUUUAGUUUAUAAAUUUGACAACGGAAGAGGAAGUAACCGUAUGACCAGGAUCAGGGCUGGUCCUUGCAUAUUGGAAACCUGGGCUGCAACAACAACACGGGCCCAUAUUCAUACAAUAGUGAUUGAACUAAUAUCUAGUGUAAAUGUAAUUUUUAGGCGGCCCAUUUGUCAGCCCAUUACAUGUUGAUUUUCAUGCUACAACUCAUAAUUGAUUAAUUAUUUUGUAGAUACCAAUUGGUUUAGAAAAGGAAACUUUAGUUUUAUAGAAAGUGUAAGUUCCACUUUUUCUACUUUACUAGAAAUAUGCAAGUGGAGCAAACUUUUGUUGCAAAUCAUUUUUUGUCAAUUCUAGGUAACCCAAAUCAGUGACCAAUUUACAAGAAAUUAUAGUGUCAUGGUUUAGGGAAGCACAAGAGAAGAGGCUAAAGAUUUUCUUUCUAGCAUGCACACAAAAAAUUGCAAUCUAUAGUGAUGGCACCAGCUCUCUGCACCGAGGGAGUGGAAAUGAAUGCAUCUACUUCCGCUCAAGUGACGACUAAAGAUGUAGAAGUGGGUGGAAAAAUCUUAUUUGUGGUUGAAUCUAUUACUAGUCUUAUCUAAGAAAAGAACAGGAAUUUCCAACAUCUGGGUGGAAAUACUCAACCGCCAAUAUGGAGCCUAUUAGUUUGAGUCAUGGAAAGAAAAAGAAGAGAGAAAAAAUGAAGGGAAGAAAAGAAAAGAAAGGAAAUGAAUGAAAGAAAAGAAAAGAAAUAAAUAAUUAAAAGGAAAGAAAAGCAAAACAAAGAAAGAAAGAGAAAAAGAGACUAAAGAUAGGAAAAUAAAGAAAGGAAAGAAAAGGCAAAGAAAUAAAGAAAAGAAAGAGAACAAAAGAAAUAAAAGAAAAGGAAGAAAAAAUAAAAGGAAUUUUUUCCUUGUGUUUACUUGGCCACUAAGAAAACAUUUGGACCCGGGACAUAGCCAAAACUCUAGCCACACCCAUUUCAUCCCAAAAUUUGAACACGCCGCACAUAACCUUAGCUCCCAUCUAUACUUCGGCUCGAUCGCUACCCCCAACCCCGACAAUGCCUUCCAAUCACUGCCUCCCAUUCACCACCCUGCCGGCCAUCGGCCCCUCCUUCCUCCAGCGUGCCUUCCCUCCCCAUCUCCUCCUCACUUUAACCCAUAUGAGCUCCACCAUCGACGCCUUCAAAGAUCCUCCCAUGUUCCUCGACACGUCCUCCUUGUCACCGAGCUCCACCGCCAUUUGAGAUCCGCCAUCCACCGCCGCUGCACCCGCCACUCCCACCAUCGUCACCGCCCCAAUGUAACCUGCUCUUAUUUAUUUCUAAUUUUAAUGCCUUUUGUGAUUGUUAUUAAUGGUUGUAUGAUUGUGAUGUACAUCAAAUAUGUGAAGUGGUUGCAAUUUUUUGCUAUUGGUUGGAAAUUUGCAUGCUUGUAUGAAUUGCGAUGUUAUAAAUGAGAAGAGAGAUGAGGGAAAAGAGAAGAUAUAAAGGGAAGAGAGAGGAGAGAAAAGUGAAGAGAGAAGAUGGAAGAAAGAAUAAAUAUGAGAAGAGAAACUGAGAAUAUUGCAAAUUUUCUUUGUAAAUUCCGUAUAUAUGUGAAAACUUCAUAUGCCAUGCUAAUUUUGCUAUGUCUAGAAUCAUUGUAUGACAGUAAAGGAACAUGGUAUGACAUUGCGACUAUACAUUUUUUCUAUAUAAAUGUUUCUGUGUGAGAGUUAUGAAAAAUUAGUUGUUCGUCUAAAAACCACUAUGUGUGUGUGUGUGUGUGUGUGUGUGGGUGGGUGGGUGGGUGUGUUUGUUUGUUCAAAUUAGUUUUUGUUAAAGUGUGAUCUUCAUUUUUUGUAUGACUUGUCAACCUUUGUUACAUCAGCUAGUAAAGUGGCAUAGUCGUAUACCGUUUCUCGACGGUUAUAUCUAUAAAUAUGCAAGUCUUUGCAUAUUUAUAAAAAUACACUUUCGAAUUGUUUACGAUUUUUGGACAUCUCGAGGAUGUUUAGAUUGGGUUUGUUUCCAUGCUUUCCUCGAUUCUAAGACAAAGUUCUUGUAGCAUCCCCCUAUUGUUAUUAGAAUACACAUUCUCUUGGCUUAUUGUCAAGAUGUGUACACUACUAAAAUGCUCCUAAACGGACAAAAUGGUCGUUCAAUGCAUUUGGGUCAUUGAUCAGAACUCGCAUCACUGACCAGGCAAAAACUGGUUUCUGAUGACUCAUAGCUGAUGGCCGGACGAUUAGUAAUAAAAUUUAGAGGACAUCAUCACUAACCAGUACUUCACAAUUGAUCUGUCAAUGAUAUCUUUAGGAAAACACCCCAAAAAAUAGCAGAAUCUCAAUUCACAUACGAAUAGCUGAGCCACAUAUAUACACGCACACUUGUAAUCAAACAUACAACUAGGAAGGCUAUCAAGCACAAUAGGAACAUCACUAACAUACAAUUCGAACACGAACAUUGGAAGCGUGACAAAAAAUAUCACUAAGUCAUAAGCUACCUCUCAGUGUGCCCUGCACAGCCGCCGAUGCAUGUGACCAUCCGUUAUUCAUGUCUUCACACGCUCUAGAAGGUUUAGAAUGCCAUGUAAAUUUGUGAUCAUCGACUUAAAAAUUCAAAUGCUCAACUAAAAAUAAUAGAAAGUUAAUUAAUGGCAAGUUAAAUAACCAAGUUAAAAUGAAUGGAUUAUGUGCACAUGUCGACAUUGUGUAAAACCAAAUGAGCAUACAAGUGAUAUGGCGGUUCCAAUUUAUAAGUUUGACGGAUCAUAAAAGUGGCAUCACUCUUUACUCUAUAAAUUUGACAAGAGUUAAGAGAUUGUCAUAUUGCAUUGGCUCUAGAGGUGUCAUAUGUACAUUGAAUUAAGAUGAACCAAAAACCAAAGUUGCUCAAUCUGGUGAGGAGAGGAACUUUCAAGUUGGGCAGUUUCCCUUGUAAGUCCAUCUUGAGGACCGAAUUAGCGAUGCCAUACACUUGACAUGUAUCAGAUAUUGUAUGGAAUCGGGAGAUUGUAUUCUAACUUUGGAGGUUGCAUAUCACCUCGGAUGAAGAUGCCCCAUAAAUUAUAGUUUUGUGCCACAACAACAUUGACAACUUCCAUGUAAUGAUCAACCCUUCAGAAAUGCACCUUGGUUUCAUGAGAGAGAGAGGGAGGGGGGAGCGAGCGAGAGAGAGAGAGGAUACUACCUGAGAUAUGUUGAUGGUGAUGUCCGACAGAGAAAAGUGAGCAAGGAGGUUGAUGGCUGCAAAGAAACCUAUCAUCAAGGAACAUCACCUUGGCAAUUACAAUAUCGAGGUGCAUCUCUUUUCUCCAACAUUGUUUUGUUCAGGUAUACUUUGUUUCCAGGUUAGUAUGAGCAACAUAUACUAAAUAACUUUAGCUAAUGAAGCACGAUUAGUAGUCCCCAAAAUAUUGUAGAUAUGAUUCUUAGCCAUGCAAAUUAUUUCCAUGGAAUGCAAUUUCUUCCACAAAGACAAUAUGUUUACCAUUUUAAUAUAUUUUACUUGGGCGAUGCUAGGCCCGGGCCGAUCGGUGCCAGCCUCAACCAACAACCGUAUAACGGCAUGAUCGAACAUAUGAAGGAUGACCUCGAUUGUUUAACAAGCACUUAAGAAGGCAUGGUUGUGCAAAAUGUCCCUAUUAUCUCAAGGUCACCUCCAAAAGAAAACAAGAUUGAGCGUGAGAACGUUAAGAGGAUGAAAGGGAAGGAAUGCAAAUAUACAUUUGUGCUUUGUUAAAUAAUUUAAUUUAACCUAUGAAUACACUUUAUUUUUACUAUCCUCAAGUGAAGCCAGGUUUAGCACAACAUGUACAAGGAAAAAUUGCUUUCUCUGGUAGAUCAUGUAGGUGAAAGGGAACAAACCCUAGGACCAGGGUUGGUUCUCACAUAUCGCUGAUCCGAGGCCUAGCAAAACAAAGCAAAAUGUUCACCUACAUAGCCCAUCUUCAAUAAAGUUCGCGUGCAGCGGCAAUCAUCAAUGAAUUCUUAUAUAGCAUUAACUUCAUUAUUUGCUCCUAUUUUCUCCUGUGUUACUCAACAAGCCAACCGAUGGUAAAAGUAAUGUUGGCAGUGGCCUCGAUUGUUUGACCAAGUACUCAAGAAGGAAAGUCUAUGUGCAAGAAGCUAAUGUUAUUUCAAGGUAGCCUCCAAAAGAGUAGAUUGAGCUUGAAAAGUCUGACAUGAUGAAGGGUAAGGCAUGCAAAUAUUCAUUUGUGCUCAGCAUUACAUAAUUUAAUGUAAAAUUGCUAUAUACUUUAUUUUUACUAUCCUCCAAUGAACUUUAGGUUUAGCACAACGUGUAUCCUAGAAAAUUGCCUUUUAUGGCAGCUCCUAGGCCAUGCACACAAAUAAAAUGGAUUAACCUUAAAUGCAUACCUUUGAUCGUGGGAGAUAUCACGCUGCAGAGUUGGGCAGGAGGGGGAGAAGGUAGGGACGAAGUGAGAGUUAGAGAGGGAGAACAUAGUUGGACAGAGGGAGGGGAAACAAACACCAGAGUUAGGUGAAGGGAUAAUGACAGUUAAAGGGGGAGGAACCGUACGACCAAGAUUACGCUGGUCCUAGAAUAUUGGCGGCCCGAGCCACAACAACAAGAUGGGUCCUUAUUCAUACGAUAGCGAUUGAAGUAAUAUCUAGUGCAAAUUUCAUUUUUAGACCACCUAUUUGUCACCCUGCUGCACAUUCAUCUUCAUGCUAGGACUCAUAAUGGACUGCUUUUUUUGCAGAUACCAAUUGAUUUAGAAAAGGUCAACUUAAUUUUUGCUGAAAAGUGUAAGUUGCACUUUUUCCACUUAGAUAGAAAUGUGAAAGUGGAGAAAACUCUUGUGGCAAAUUAGUGUUAAGUAAUUCUUUAGGCAAAACAAAUGAGUGAUCAAUUUACAAGAAAUUAUAGUGUCAUUGUUCCGGGAAUAAAAGAUAAGAGGCUAAAGAUUUUCUAUCUCGCAUGUACCCAAAGUAUUCGUAAUUUAUCAUGUGAAAGUGUUCUUUACUAAAAAAGACAUUUUACCACAAAACUUGUCCUGACAUUAUAAUCGUUCUCCAUAAUUUCCUCGGUUUGUGCUUACAACAAAUGAAUUAAAGCUAGAAUUUUUUUGCAUUUACGUGUAAAAGAAUUGCAAUCUAUAGGAAGCAGACUACUUGUGUGAACCAGGUUAUCAAAAAAUUAAUGCCAAUAAGCAUCUUGUGAGUAAGAAACAAGGUGGAUAAGCCAAAUAUUUCCAAAUGGGGUCCUAUGGGUCAGUCCUACUCAUCCACAUUGUAAUUUUGGGCUUCACAUGCCCAAUACCACUUCAAUCCAAGUAACAAGAGCACCCUGGACUAUCAUAUGCACAUGCACAUGGAAUUAACCAAUGGAGACAAGGAUGCUCUGGAUGGUCGCCAUGUAGCCGUUUAGUUUAUUUAGCUUCUCGGCAAUCCCCUUCUUCUUAAAGGAGCCGCUAUAGUUGGUCUUGGCUUUCGCUGCCAUCAUGAAGAUUCUGCCUAACCCCGUGUUAGCUCAUGUAUGUCGCUGAACCACUAAAACCCUGUAGAAAUUUUUAGAAGUAAUCAGGAAUUUGAAGGAUUGAAGUGACAGAUUAUAUGUCCCAGGAUCCGAGUGGGAGGAAGUUGGGGCCGCUCCCUUAGGACGCAACGGGUUGAGGAGACAUCGGAUCCACGUCAUCGACAUGCUCCAUGUAGCUAGAUAAGACUGGAGGAGGUUGGAUUUGUUUCGCCAGGCCAUCAUGGGUGGUAGACACGUUCAAUUAUCUCCGUCGUCCUAGCCUACGUUGUCACCUCACGCAAGCACCACCGUCGUCAUCUAGACCUAGAGAAGGGAGGUAGGGGAUGAGGAUUCGAGUGCGCCGCCAUGAAAGAAAAUGAGAGGGACAACGCUAUGGCUCGUGCCCUUGUGCGGCUGGCAAAGGAAUGGAGUCAGAGGCGGCUAGAUUAAAGGUUGCUUCAUUGGACUAGAUGAUUUAUUUAUGCACAUACUAUAUGUGUUUGGCUCACUCGAUUAGUACGAAAUUUUCAUGUUAUAAUUUGACUAAAAAUCAACUGCACAACAUAAUCAUGUUGUAUUCCAUGCCAAUUAAGGUUUCGUGUGAUUUGGUACAUACAUAGAGCAUUGAUGGCCCAAGAGAAAUAUAAUUUGCUUUAGUCAUGGUUUUUAUUUCCUAAUAACAAAUUUAGCUAAUGAAGCAAGGUCAAUAAUCAUCCCCAAAAUAUUGUCGAUCCGAUUCUUAGUCGUGCAAUUUAGUUCCAUGACAUCCAGCUUGUUUCCACAAACACAAUAUGUUUACAGCUAUAAUGUAUUUUACUUUGGCGAUGGUAGGUGUCCGUCGACCGGUUCCAGUCUCAACCGACCACCGUACAUCCACACGACCGAGUCGAUUAAGGACGACCUUGAUUGAUUGACCAAACACUCAAGAAUGCAUGGAUGUGCAAAAUGCCCCUAUUAUCUCAAGGCUUCUUUCAAAAGAAAAGACGUUUGAGCUUGACAAGGUCAGAAGGAUGAAAGGGAGGGCAUGCAAAUAUACAUUUGUGCUUUGUUAAAUAAUUUAGUUUAACCUAUUAAUACACAUUAUUUUUACUAUCCUCAAGUGAACUCUAGGUUUAGCACAACAUGUACUAGAAAAAAUGCUUUGUGUGGUAGAUCAUGGCAGUGAAAGAUAAGGAACCCUAGGACAAGGGCUGGCUCUCAGACCAAUGACCUAGGAACAAGAUGGAACCUUAAUCAUACAAUAGUACUUGAAAAAAUAUCUAGUGUAAAUUCCAUUCUAGACCACCAUUUGACACCCCAUUGCAAUUUUCAUCUUCAUGUUAGAGCUCAUAGUGCCAGUAUCAUAGUAUUCAUGCAGGUCAUCCAUGUCUUAAUAGACAGAUUGCUAUAGAUACCAAUUGAGGCACAAAAGGACAACUUAAGUUUUUUUAAAGUGUAAGUUGCACUUUUUUGCACUAUAUUACACCCUACUAGGCAAGUGGAGCAAACUCUUGCUGCAAGUCAUUGUUAGUGAAUUCAUUAUGUACAAAUUUGUAAAUAUUCUAAAGCCAAUCUGUUGACCAACCAAAAUAUGUUUGCCAUUUGCCAACAUACCAAUUAAGCCAAUGAUAGCGUCCUUGAAUAUUAUCUCAUUUAAAAAAUGAGUAAAAUCAUAUCGUUUUGAUUAGCCAUUUGAAUGAGAUGCCAAGUUACAAGAAGGAAUUGUUCCAUAUAUAUGGUUGGGAAACACAAGGUAAGAGGCAAAACAUUUUCUUUCUAGCCUGUGCCCAUUAAAUUCAUAAUAUGUAGUCUAAAAGAGUUAUUUACGAAAAGAUACAUCUUUAACCCAUCCUCCCGCUAUAAUCCUUCUACAUGACUACUUUGGGUCCUACUUACAAGAAAGGAAUAAAAACAGGAAAAUGAUUGCAAGUCAUAUGCAAUACACAAAACUCCAAUUUAUAGGAAAACCAAAAUGUUGAUAUUUGGAUUCAUGGUACAAAAAUACUAUAGCAAAACAGUUGAUAUCCACUAUACCUUUUUCUAUGAAGUGUCGUUAUUUAUCAUUUACACUAUCUGCUACAUAGCAAAAACAAAGCAAAGUCAACUGUCCACCUACAUAGCUCAUCUUUAGUUAAGGUCGCAUGCACCAACAUUCAUGAAUGAACUCUUAUAUAGCAUUACCCUCAAUGUUUGCUCCUAUUUUCUCCUUUGUUACUCGACAAGCCGACCGGUCGUCAAAGUAAUGUUGCCAGUGGCCUCGAUUGUUUGACCAAGGACUCAGGAAGGCAAGUCUGUGUGUAAGAAGCUUCUAUUAUCUCAAGGUAUCCUCCAAAAGAAAAGUAGUUUGAGCUUGAAAAUUCUGAAAGGAUGAAAUGUAAGGCAUGCAAAUAUUAAUUUGUGCUCGGCAUUACAUAAUUUAAUGUAACAUAGUAAUAUACUUUAUUUUUACUAUCCUCAAAUGUACCUUAGGUUUCACACAAUGUGUAUACUAAAAAAAUGCCUUUUAUGGCAGCGCCCAGGCCAUGCACACAAAUAAAGUGGAUCAACCUUAAAUACAUAACUUCAAUCAUGGGAGAUACUGUGCUACAGAGUCGGGCAGGAGGGGGAGAACACGGGAACAGAUGAGAGGUAGAGAGGGAGAGCAGAGUUGGACAAAGGGGGGCAAACAGACACAUGCGGUAGGUGAAGGGAUAAUAACAGUAGAAGGGGGAGGAACCCUAUGACUAGGAUCAUGGUUAUUUCUUAUAUACCAGGGCCCGAGCCGCAACACUAAGAUGCGCCCUUAUUCAUGCAAUCGUGAUUGAACUAAUAUCUAGUGUAAAUGUCAUUUUUAGACCACUUAUUGCUCAGCCCGUUGCACGUUGAUCUUCAUGCUAUAACUCAUAAUUGACUGAUUGUUUUGUAGAUACCAAAAAGGGCAACUUUAGUUUAUAGAAAAUGUAAGUUGCACUUUUUCCACUUAACUAGAAAUGUUCAAGUAGUGCAAACUUUUGUUGCAAAUUAAUUUUUUCAAUUCUAGGCAACCCAAAUCAGUGAACAAUUUUGAACACGCCACACAUAACCCUAGCUACCCUCUAUACCUUUUCUCCGUCUCUACCACUGGCCCCGACCCUGCCUUCCAUCGCCACCUCCCAUUUGCCGCCCUGCCAGCCAUCUGCCCCUCCUUCCCCCAGCGUGCCUCCUCUCCCAUCUCCUCCUCACUUCACCCCAUCUGAGUUCCGCCGCCGACACUUUCCAAGAUCCUCUUAUCUUCUCUGACAUGACCUCCAUGUCGCUGAGCUCCACCUCCAUUUAUGAUCCACCUUGAUGCCAUCUUAGAAGCGGCGGGCGCCCCUGAGAGCCUUGCCCGCCACUGCUAGGCUUUUUUACGCCCGCCGCUGCAGUAGUGACUUGGUGUUGGCACCGUCUGUCUGCACCGAGGGAGUGGAAAUGAAUGCAUCUGCUUCUACUCAAGCAAUGACUAAAGACAUAGAAACCAGGGAAAAUUCAUAUUUUAUUAGGCUUAUCUAAGAAAAGAAAUGGAAUUCCAACAUCUAGGUGGCUAUACUUGACCGCCAAUAUGGAGUUUAUUGGUUUGAGUCAUGGAAAGAAAAAGAAGAGAAGAAAAGAAAGGAAAUGAAUGAAAGAAAAGAAAUAAAUAAAAGGAAGAAAAGCAAAGUAAAGAAAGAAACUCAAAAAGAAAGAAAAGAGGAGACUAAAUAUAGGAAAAGGUAGAAAGGAAAGAAAAGCAAAGCAAAGAAAGAAGGAAAAGAAAGAGAACAAAAGAAAUAAAAGGAAAGUCAGAAAAGAAAUAAAAGGAAUUUGCCCCUAGCGUUUCUACUUGGCCACUGAGCAAACAUUUGGGCCCGGGACUUGGCCCAAACUUCAGCCACACCCAUUCCAUCCCCAAAUUUUGAACCUGCCGCACAUAACCCUAGCUCCCCUUUAUACCUUUCCUCCUCCGCCGCCGCCGACCCCGACCUUACCUUCCAUCGCCGCCUCCAAUUCUCAAUCCUACCAACCAACGACCCCUCCUUCCCCUGACGCACCUCCUCUCCCCUUAUCCUCCCAACUUCGCUGCAUCCGAGCUUCCUCGCCGAAGCCUUCCAAGCUCCUCCCACCUCCCUCGACACGUCCUCCUCGUCACCGAGCUCCACCGCCGUUUGAGAUCCGCCUUCCGCCCCGGUUGCACCCGCCGCUCUCACUGUCGUCACCGCCCCAAGGUAAGUUGUCAUUUUUAUUUUGAAUUUUAAUGCCUUUUGUGAUUUGUGAUGGUGAUGAAUGGUUGUAUGAUUGUGAUGUACAUUGUACAUGCGAAGUGGUUGCAAUUUUUUGCUAUUGGUUGCAAAUUUGCAUGUUCUUAUGAAAUGUGAUGUCAUAAAUGAGAAGAGAGAUGAGGGAAAAGAGAAGAGUUAAAAGGGAAGAGAGAAGAGAGAAAAGGGAAGAGAAAAGAGGGAGGAGAGAAUAAAUAUGAGAAGAGAGAUUGAGAUUUGCUAUGCAAAUUUUGUAUAUGUGAAAACAUCGUAUGCCAUUGCUAAUUUUUCUAUGUCAAGAAACAUUGUAUGACAUUGCAAUUGUUUCCUAUUGAUAUUUUUUAUAUGUAAAGAGACAUGGUAUGACGUUACAAAAUUGUCUUGUAAAGAAAAUUUCAUUGUACAAUUUCGAUAUGUAAGUGUUUAUGUGUGUAUGUGUGAGUUAUGAAAAAAUGAGUGGUUUGACUAAAAACCACUGUGUGUGUAUCAUUCAAAACAAUUUCUUUUUAAGUGUGAUCUUUUUUUUUGUAUGACAUGUCAAACUCUGUUGCAAUGUAAAACCUUUGUGGUGGUGCAUCUUUGAUUGUUCUCAUAGGCCUUUCUACAGGAGAGACACCGGUCUUUGUCCCCGACCAUGCUUCAAGGGUAAUAUCUCUGUUCAUGUGUAUGUUUGUUUAUUUUUACAUCACCUAGUCAAGUAACAUAGACAUAUCCCAUAUCUCGAGAGUUAUAUUUAUAAAUAUGCAAGUCUAUGCAUAUUUAUAAAAAUACUCUUUUGAUUUCUUUACAAUUUUUGGACAACGAGGAUGUACAGAUUGGGCUUGUUUCCAUGCUCUCCUCCAUUCUGAGACAAAGUUUCAAUCGCACCCCUGUUGUUAUUAGAAUACUCAUUAUUUUGUCUUGUUGUCAAGAUGUGUACACUACUACAAUGCUGCUAAAUCGGCCAAAUGGUUAUUCAGUGCAUCCGGGUCAGUGAUCACAACCCGCAUCACUGGCCAGCCAAAAACUGGUCUGUGAUGGCUCACAACCAAUGGAUGGACCAUCAGUAAUGUAAUUUAGAUGAUAUCACCACUAACCAGUACUUCACAAUUGACCGGUCAGGGAUAUCUUUAGGAAAACACCCCAAAAAUAGCAGAAUCUCAAUUCAAAUACGAAUAGUUGAGCCACAUAUACACACGCUUGUGUAAUCAAACAUACAACUAGGAAGAGUAUAUGAAGCACAACAAGAACACCACUAACAUACAACUCGAACUCGAACAUUAUGAAGCGUGACAAACAAAAAUAUCACUAAGUCAUAAACUAACUCCCAAUGUGCUCUGCAUCACCGUCGAUGCAUGUGACCAUCAGUUACCCAUGCCUUCACACGAUCUAAAAGGUUCAUACAACCAUGUGAGACCUCUAAUCAUCAACUUCAAAAUUGAAAUGAUGAGCUAUAGAGAAUAGAAUGUUAAUCACUAGAAAGUUAAAUAACCAAGUUAAAACGAAUGAAUUGUGUGCACAUGUUGACAUUGUGUAAAACAAAAUGAACAUACAAGUGAUAUGGCUAUUACAAUUUAUAAGUUUGAUAGAACAUACAAGUGACAUGGUUGUUUAGUUUACAAAAUGUGACUAGGGUCAAAAGAUUGUCAUAUUGCAUCGCCUCUAGAGGUCGCAUACGUACAUUGAAUUAAGAUGAAACAAAAACCGAAGUUGUUCAACUUGGUGAGGAGAACAAGUUUCUUGUUGGGAAAAUUUUCUUUUAAAUCCAUCUUGAGGGCCGAAUAAGCGAUGCCAUACACCAGAGACGUAUCACACAGUGUACGGAAUCAGUGGAUUGUAUUCUAACUUGGAGGGUGCAUAUCACCUCGGAUGGAGAUGGCCCAUAAACUAAUGUUUUGUGCCUCAACAAUGCCGACAAUUUCAUGUAUUGAUCAACCCUUCAGAAAUGGACCUUAGGUUUCACCAAUGAUAUUGUGUGUGUGUGUGUGUGUGUGUGUGUGUGUGUGUGUGUGAGAGAGAGAGAGAGAGAGAGAGAGAGAGAGAGAGAGAUACUAACUGAGAUAUGUUGAUGGUGAUGUCCGACAGAGAAAAGCAAGGGAAGAGGUUGAUGGCUGCAGAGAAACCCAUCAUCAAGGCACAUCACCUUGGCAAAGACAACAUCGAGGUGCGUCUCUUUUCUCCCAUGUUGUUUUGUUCAGGUCUGCUUUGUUUCCAAGUUAAUAUGAGCAACAUAUACUGAAUGACCUCAUCGUUCUUGCAUGCUUUUGUAGUACUACACAUGUCCUAUUACGAGCAUGAUGUCCAUGAUAAAGAACAAGGUCACGCAAUACCGCAGGUUCGAGAAGCGUGUGAUCAAGGGGAGGUCAACGUGUGGUGAUGUGAAGACACUACAGGUGAGCGACGAAUUAUGUGUGAUACAGACUUACAUAAAUGUUGUUGAUGGUGUGUGAUACAGACUUACACAAAUGUUGUUGAUGGUGUUGAGGUCUGAGGUGUGAACCACGGGUGUUCUAUGUUCAGGGCAACUAUAGCUGGAUCCCGGAGGGUUGGGCGAUGGAGAUAAGGGCUGAAGGGGAGGGGGUGAACAAAAAAGUAUUCAAGGUAUGUAAAACAAAAAAAAGCACUCUUGUUUAAUAAGUUUCCAUCAUGCAGUGAAUAGCUACAUUAUGUGGCUAGCCUUGGCAAACUAUAUUGUUUGGACACUUUUUGCAAUAGAAAAUGUCUGACAUUUCAUAUUUCAUUGUUUAGAGCCUUAUUUAUACAUUCAUCCAAGAGGUAGUAAUGGAUACAACCACGACAACGACAUUGCACACAUACACCUCUUUUCUUUUUCUAAAAAAUGAUUUGGUAUAGAUGGAUAAUUGUAUUUAGUUGUAUAUGUGUGAGAAAUUAAAUGGAUAGAUAAUAUAACAGAUAUUUUUAUCUUGGAAUGCGCCAUUGGUCAGAUGAGAACCAAGCAAAGAAACUGGUUCAUCUAAGCAACUCACUAAACUUGAACAUACCCUCAUGCAGUUCUUCGUCCAUAAGUCCUCCGGGGUGCGACUUACAAACAAAGAUGAUGUAGAGGCCUUUGAAAAAAUAGUACGAGUGCCAAAGAUGCCACUGCCAUCCAAAGAAGAUGGGUCUAAACAAGAUGUGUCUAAACAAGACGUGCUGCUCUUUGAAGAACCAAUAAAAAAGAGGAAGACCCCCAGAGCCUGCAAAGACCCAGACGCAGUAGAGUGCGACACGAGCUCUCAGGAUAACGUAUGUACAUCUCUACAUAAAACCACAUACAUACAUACUUCUAGUGUGAUCUUAAUGCUAUAAAUUCUCAAGAACUGGCUAACACUCAGUCUUAUGUAUUAUAGAUGAUUGCACAGCUUGACUUCUAUACUGAGCGUUUAUCCGCUGGAUGGGUGAAGGAAACCUACUUCAGACCAGACAAGAAAAAUAAGAAAGACACGGUAUAUAUAAACAUGUCAUAUUGGCCUAUUUUUUUUGUUAAAUAUGCAUGCAAAUUGCAAACACACGCUGUGCUUAUCCAUUUUUCUUCAUUGGUUUCAGUUUUCUAUUCUUUAAUUAUCCUUUUGGUCUUCUGCAGUAUUUUACCGCCCCUUCUAGUUCUGAGUAUCUCGUGUUCCGUACAAAGAAGGAUGCAAUGAAAUACUUCUGGACUGGAGAACGUCCUAAAGAUUCUUGGAAACCGACAAAUAGUGUCACCAAGAAGUACAAAGACUUGCUUGGUAAUUGUUGCUCCUGUUUUUUCACAACUCGUUGAGUAGUACUGUUCUCGCCGAAGUUUCAUAUAAUGGGACUCAUUAAGCACAUCUGAGAAGAUAUCUAGUGGUUUCUCUUAUCUUUUUUACGGUGCUUCCAUGCAAACCUACAUUUCUGAAUUUUCUGACAAAGUUGAGACAAGAUGUAUCUAAAGUUCCCACAUAAUUUAAUUUCAAAACUUGAUCCAUAUAUAAAUAAACAAAAAUAAAAAUGAUGUGAAUAGUGCCAAACAUAUAAUAUUCACAACAAAUCUGAACUGUGUACUUUUUAUCUUUCUUUCUGUUCUUGAGUUGUGAAUCAAAUUUGGUCUUCAAAUUAUGUAUCAUGGCUGUUGCACCAUGUCUCAAGGUUGUCUUUUUUACCUACAAAAAAUUUCUUUUAGAUUGUGCAUUUGUUCUUACUAGAUAGUGCAGAAAUACCGUCAAGGAGGAAACAUCAGGAAAAAUGAUGAUUUUUUGGGAGCACGUAUAGGACGUGCACUCAUGCACUAAUAAGCUCAUAGCUCAUCCUUCUUUUUACAAAAUUGCUUCCAUCUCAUUAUUCUUUCCCCUCUCUUUUUUGCGGGAGAUUUCAUUAUUCUUUCCAUCCUACCUAUUAAUUUGACUUUUUUUACAGUUACAGAUACAGAUGAAAAAGACCUAGAUGGUCAACAUGAGCCCAAGGAAAAGAAGCCUAAGACUACAAGCACCGAAGCCGACGAGGCCAUGACCUGCUCAUAGGCUAGACUGCUAGGAAUCAAUCAAGGCCAAGAGAAAAAUUGAAGAAAACCAGAGUGAUCAAUGGCAGCAUUUUUUCGGCUUAAAAAGACAGAAGGAACACUGCCGCUGCGAAGCUAUUUCCACCUUGUGUUCUGAACUUAAUUAUAUGGUGGGUUUGUCGUGAAACUUGCAACCAAAGGGGACAGUGGUAGGAGGUUUUUGUUCCAUUGUCUGAGUCCGAGUAUGCGAUUGGACCUCCUCGGUGUGUUGAACCUGUUUCCUUUUUUCUAUUUUUGCUUUUGUGUUUUACUUCCUGAGAACCUAGCCUUCCUAGAAUUGUGAAUUGUUUAAUUCGUGCCGAAAUAUAUUUGGAUUUUCUCUGAUUUUACUCGUUUCCUGAACUAUAAUCGUCUAUACGGCAUUACAUGGCUCUGGUUCUGGCAGACAGGAAGGUUGCAACAAUGAAACAUCAUAAGCAUUUAAGCAUUAU